GAUGAACGCUGGCGGCGUGCUUAACACAUGCAAGUCGAACGGUGAAGCAGGAGCUUGCUCCUGUGGAUCAGUGGCGAACGGGUGAGUAACACGUGAGCAAUCUGCCCUGGACUCUGGGAUAAGCGUUGGAAACGACGUCUAAUACCGGAUACGAGGCGUGGGGGCAUCCCCAACGCCUGGAAAGAACUUCGGUCCAGGAUGAGCUCGCGGCCUAUCAGGUAGUUGGUGAGGUAACGGCUCACCAAGCCUACGACGGGUAGCCGGCCUGAGAGGGUGACCGGCCACACUGGGACUGAGACACGGCCCAGACUCCUACGGGAGGCAGCAGUGGGGAAUAUUGCACAAUGGGCGCAAGCCUGAUGCAGCAACGCCGCGUGAGGGACGACGGCCCUCGGGUUGUAAACCUCUUUUAGCAGGGAAGAAGCGAAAGUGACGGUACCUGCAGAAAAAGCACCGGCUAACUACGUGCCAGCCGCCGCCGUAA
rnacentral:rRNA from 1 species